UACGUAGGGUGCAAGCGUUUAAUCGGAAUUACUGGGCGUAAAGCGUGCGCAGGCGGUUUUGUAAGUCUGUCGUGAAAUCCCCGGGCUCAACCUGGGAAUUGCGAUGGAGACUGCAAGGCUAGAAUCUGGCAGAGGGGGGUAGAAUUCCACGUGUGAGCAGUUGAAAUGCGUAGAGAUAGUGGAGGAACACCGAUGGCGAAGGCAGCCCCCUGGGUCAAGAUUGACGCUCAUGCACGAAGCGUGGGGAGCAACGAAGG
rnacentral:rRNA from 1 species